rnacentral:rRNA from 1 species
UACGUAGGGCGCAAGCGUUGUCCGGAAUUAUUGGGCGUAAAGAGCUCGUAGGCGGUUUGUCGCGUCUGCUGUGAAAUCCCGAGGCUCAACCUCGGGCUUGCAGUGGGUACGGGCAGACUAGAGUGCGGUAGGGGAGACUGGAAUUCCUGGUGUAGCGGUGGAAUGCGCAGAUAUCAGGAGGAACACCGAUGGCGAAGGCAGCUCACUGGGACGGUACUGACGCUAAGGCGCGAAAGCGUGGGGAGCGAACAGG